rnacentral:tRNA from 3 species
GGGCGAAUAACUCAGCUGGGAGAGUGCAACCCUUACAAGGUUGAAGUCACAGGUUCGAGCCCUGUUUCGCCCACCA